CUCGCCUUGUUUUUCAAAAACAUAGUUAAAAGAAAAGAUUUUUAAUUAUUCCUGCCCAGUGUAUAUUUAUAAAUGGCCGCAGUACUUUGACUGUGCUAAGGUAGCAUAAUCAAUUGGCUUUUAAUUUGAGUCUGGAAUGAAAGGAUUUAUGGGGAAACGCUGUUUCAAAUAUAUAAUAUUAAAUUUAUUUAAAAAGUGAAAAUACUUUUUUAUAGAAAAAAGACGAGAAGACCCUAAGAAUUUUUAGAAAAAUAUAAUAAUAUUUUUUUCUUUUUGUUGGGGCGACAAUUAAGCAAUAAUAUUAACCUUAAUUAUUUAUUUAAUCGGUUAUUUCAGUAAAAAUUAAAUUACCUUAGGGAUAACAGCAUAAUUUUUAAAAGUUUGUGACCUCGAUGUUGGACUAGGAACUUUAUAACUAGCAGUUAAAAGAGAUUGUUCUGUUCGAACAGUAUUUUCCGACGUGACCUGAGUUCAGAACCGG
rnacentral:rRNA from 1 species